UACGUAGGCAGCAAGCGUUGUUCGGAGUUACUGGGCGUAAAGGGUGCGUAGGCGGCUCUAUAAGUAUGGUGUGAAAUCUCCCGGCUUAACUGGGAGGGUGCGCUAUAGACUGUGGGGCUAGAGUGUGGGAGAGGAAAGUGGAAUUCCUGGUGUAGCGGUGAAAUGCGUAGAUAUCAGGAGGAACACCGGUGGUGUAAACGGCUUU
rnacentral:rRNA from 1 species